AUCGGAGCGCUGGUGCCCACAGCUCGGGAGCGAGGGAAACUGCGUCUGCGCGGGCUGAGUGCGCAUGGAGAGGACUUCGCUGGUGGUAUCGCGAGGCCAAUCCAGUCAGCAGGUGCAUGGAGUUCUACAUCCACCCAUAGUCCACCAAUCAUUCAGUGUGAAUGGUCUUGGAGUUAAUUCAACAGGAGAAGAGUCAAGUGAGGUUACAGAUGAGACAGUGGUGAGCCAAGGGCAGAUGUGACGCAGAUGCAUCUUAUUUAUUUUUGGCUGCACAGCGUGCCAUUCAGGGUCUUAGUUCUCCUGCCGCCUGCAACGGAAGCAGAGUCCCAACCACUGGACCACCAGGAGUCUCAAUGUAGGUGCAUUUGAGAAAUAAAUACAUUCUUUACCAAAGGAAUUGACGGCUUUGUGUGCCUUUGG